GACGAACGCUGGCGGCGUGCUUAACACAUGCAAGUCGAACGGAAAGGCCCUGCUUGCAGGGUGCUCGAGUGGCGAACGGGUGAGUAACACGUGGGUGAUCUGCCCCUUACUUUGGGAUAAGCCUGGGAAGCUGGGUCUAAUACUGGAUAGGACCAUGCUGUAGGUGGUGUGGUGGAAAGAUUAGUUUCGGUAAGGGAUGAGCUCGUGGCCUAUCAGCUUGUUGGUGGGGUAAUGGCCUACCAAGGCGUCGACGGGUAGCCGGCCUGAGAGGGUGGACGGCCACAUUGGGACUGAGAUACGGCCCAGACUCCUACGGGAGGCAGCAGUGGGGAAUAUUGCACAAUGGGCGCAAGCCUGAUGCAGCGACGCCGCGUGGGGGAUGACGGCCUUCGGGUUGUAAACUCCUUUCAGCCAUGACGAAGCCCUUGUGGUGACGGUAGUGGUAGAAGAAGCACCGGCUAACUACGUG
rnacentral:rRNA from 1 species